rnacentral:rRNA from 1 species
GACGAACGCCGGCGGCGUGCUUAACACAUGCAAGUCGAACGGUGAUGAUCAAGCUUGCUUGGUCUGAUCAGUGGCGAACGGGUGAGUAACACGUGAGUAACCUGCCCCAGACUCUGGGAUAACCCCGGGAAACCGGAGCUAAUACCGGAUAUGACACCAGGCUGCAUGGCCAUGGUGUGGAAAGUUUUUCGGUCUGGGAUGGACUCGCGGCCUAUCAGCUUGUUGGUGAGGUAAUGGCUCACCAAGGCGACGACGGGUAGCCGGCCUGAGAGGGCGACCGGACACACUGGGACUGAGCCACGGCCCAGACUCCUACGGGAGGCAGCAGUGGGGAAUAUUGCACAAUGUGCGAAAGCCUGAUGCAGCGACGCCGCGUGAGGGAUGACGGCCUUCGGGUUGUAAACCUCUUUCAGCAGGGAAGAAGCGCAAGUGACGGUACCUGCAGAAGAAGCACCGGCUAACUACGUGCCAGCCGCCGCGGUAAAAC